rnacentral:rRNA from 1 species
GAUGAACGCUGGCGGCGUGCUUAAUACAUGCAAGUCGAACGAGAAACUUUUGUCUUCGGAUGGAGGUUUUCUAGUGGCGAACGGGUGAGUAACGCGUUGGUGACCUGCCCCGAAGUGGAGGAUAACAGUUCGAAAGGACUGCUAAUACUUCAUGAUAUCAAUUGGAUUAGAUACCUUUUGAUCAAAGGCGUAAGCCGCUUUGGGAGGGGCCUGCGUCCCAUCAGCUAGUUGGUAGGGUAAUGGCCUACCAAGGCUAAGACGGGUAGGGGACCUAAGAGGGUGACCCCCCACACUGGCACUGAAACACGGGCCAGACACCUACGGGAGGCUG